rnacentral:misc_RNA from 1 species
AUAUUUUGAAUUAAGUAUAUUCAUAAUAUGUUAUCAGACGAAUGUUGUUAAAGAUAUAGGUUGAUAUUUGUGAAGGGAAAGAGUUGCCUCUCUCCCAACAAACAUUGCACACAAGGUGGAUAUGGAUUUAAAAGGUGCCAUAAAACACUUAUUAUGAAUGAUCCUUCCGCAGGUUCACCUACGGAAA